GAUGAACGCUAGCUACAGGCUUAACACAUGCAAGUCGAGGGGAAACGGCAUUGAGUGCUUGCACUCUUUGGACGUCGACCGGCGCACGGGUGAGUAACGCGUAUCCAACCUUCCCAUUACUGUGGGAUAACCUGCCGAAAGGCAGACUAAUACCGCAUAGUCUUCGAUGACGGCAUCAGAUUUGAAGUAAAGAUUUAUCGGUAAUGGAUGGGGAUGCGUCUGAUUAGCUUGUUGGCGGGGUAACGGCCCACCAAGGCGACGAUCAGUAGGGGUUCUGAGAGGAAGGUCCCCCACAUUGGAACUGAGACACGGUCCAAACUCCUACGGGAGGCAGCAGUGAGGAAUAUUGGUCAAUGGACGGAAGUCUGAACCAGCCAAGUAGCGUGCAGGAUGACGGCCCUAUGGGUUGUAAACUGCUUUUGUAUGGGGAUAAAGUUAGGGACGGGUCCCUAUUUGCAGGUACCAUACGAAUAAGGACCGGCUAAUUCCGUG
rnacentral:rRNA from 1 species